rnacentral:rRNA from 1 species
CAUGCCGUAAACGUUGUAUACUAGGUGCGGGAGGUAUCGACCCCUUCCGUGCCGAAGCUAACGCAUUAAGUAUACCGCCUGGGGAGUACGCGCGCAAGCGUGAAACUCAAAGGAAUUGACGGGGGCCCGCACAAGCGGUGGAGCAUGUGGUUUAAUUCGAGGCAACGCGAAGAACCUUACCCAGGCUUGACAUCCCAAGACCGCCUAUGAAAGUAGGUUUUCCCUUCGGGGACUUGGAGACAGGUGU